rnacentral:rRNA from 1 species
AUUGAACGCUAGCGGGAUGCUUUACACAUGCAAGUCGAACGGCAGCGCGGACUUCGGUCUGGCGGCGAGUGGCGAACGGGUGAGUAAUGUAUCGGAACGUGCCCAGUAGCGGGGGAUAACUACGCGAAAGCGUAGCUAAUACCGCAUACGCCCUACGGGGGAAAGCAGGGGAUCGUAAGACCUUGCACUAUUGGAGCGGCCGAUAUCGGAUUAGCUAGUUGGUGAGGUAACGGCUUACCAAGGCGACGAUCCGUAGCUGGUUUGAGAGGACGACCAGCCACACUGGAACUGAGACACGGCCCAGACUCCUACGGGAGGCAGCAGUGGGGAAUUUUGGACAAUGGGGGCAACCCUGAUCCAGCCAUCCCGCGUGUGCGAUGAAGGCCUUCGGGUUGUAAAGCACUGUUGGCAGGAAAGAAACGUCGCGGGCUAAUACCCCGUGGAACUGACGGUACCUGCAGAAUAAGCACCGGCUAACUACGUG